GGUAUCUAGUGGACACAGGCCAAGGAUGCUGGCAGGCAUGCUAUGCUGCCCAGAACAGUGUCUGAUGACAGGGACCUGCCUUAUCAAAAUAGCAGGCAUGCGGAGGUGGACACCCCACACCAGAGCAGCCCUUCUCAGCUCUACCCUGCCUGGGGAAGGAGGAGGAACCCUGGUUUCAGGGCAGUGCUGGGAUUACCUUUUCCCAGGCUCCUUCCAUGGCAGCUGUCCAGGAAGAGCUGCACUUGCUAGGCCUGGGACCACACGUCUACAGAAACCCUGCUCUGCUGGCCUGAGCCCCCGGCCUUCGCCUCCUGUGCUUGGGUAACCAUGGCCACUCGGAGAAGCAAGGACCAUUUUUGACUCAGAAUCAUCCAGCUAAUGUAGAAAAUCAAGUGUGCUUUCAAAGGAUGCAGAUUUGCUUUCUUGGAGAGGUGAAAGAACGAGUUCUGUGCUAGAAAACUUUCAAGGAAGUCUCAUUUGUGUUAGAGCAGAGGAGGUCCUAGAUACCACAUGGCCCCUCCCAGGAAAGGCUGGGAGAAGAGGUGGCCUGAAGCACCCUGGGAUCCCAGCAGCACACACAGUUGAGGGAUGAGGAUGAAUGAGUCCCACCCCUGAUUUUGAUGGGAAGUGUUCAUGUCCCGUCUCCUUUCCUGGACACAUGAAGGGGUUGGGACAAGAAGAGACCCCUGUGAGAUCAGCAGACGUUGUGCUUGAGGAGAGGAUACCAGCCUGCAACACCCACGGAGAGGGACUCUUCAGGCCUUACCUGCUAAAUGCCUCCAAACUCCAGGCGGGCGUCCGCAUUCUCAACACAGGCCUUUCUUUACAGUUUCCUGAUGAGUGACCACCACCACCACGUUCAAGUUUCGAAUGCAGACCCACCACAAGGGACGGAUUCCACCCGCCCGUCCUGCUGCAGAUCUGCAACACAGCAGGUGUGUGUCUGGAGACAACAGCUCCUGAGCACAGUGCCCUCGGAGCCCUCACUGCACUUCAGGGGCCAUGCCAGUGCUGAUGAUGCCGUCAUGCCACUGGCCUCUGACAGUAUCCUGGCUACACCAGGACGCUGGGUUCCAGAAGCUGUGGCUGUCACCUUGAGGGCUGACCGGCGGCCUUCCAAACCCAGGAAACUGACCUGCAGGAGGGCCUACUCAUGGGCCCAGCAAAAAUUUAGCUGGGCAACAGCUGGCUCUUGAUGACACCUUGACCAAUGUGCUUUGGGUGGACGGUAUCCUACGUAUUCAGUGGAGACCACCAGGAGCACCCGUGAGUGGGGCAGGGGCCCACACCCUUACAUGAUGAAUUCAUAGGAUGGGGUGCUUGGUGGAUGGGCUGUGGGGGUCUGUGACUCGGGACUGGGCCCACACCAUCCCAGAGGGCUCAGGAUGCCCCAGGAGGGAAAGAAGGGGAACAAACCACAUGAUUGGACAUGUGUGGUUGGCUGGAAUGAUGGUGGGAGGGGCACGGCCUUGCAGGGGAUUGGUGCUCAUCCCAGGGAGGAAGUACUGGGGCUUGAUGACCUAGGAUGAAAGGGGGCCUCUGAGCCAUAACAAGGGGCACAUCAGAGAUUUCCGCCAGCAGGCCCUGGUUGUCAUUGGGCAGGGAUGCAGUCAGCCCCAAGGGUUGCCACCCACUUGUGUGUGGCCCUCUGUCGUGGCAGGGAAAUGUAGACCUCUUGUCUCAGCACCAACCUUCCUUGUAUAGUCAGCAGGGCUGGCCCUGCCCCAGGGACUCACUGCAUGUUCCCGGACCUCCAGGCCUGGCCUUUGCAGCAGAGGUGGCAGCCUCUGGAUUCCAUCAGCAGCUGUGAGCCCUACUCUGGCUGUGCACUGCAUGGCCUGAGACCGCUGGACACAAUGUUGGGCAACAACUCAGCCAGCCUGAUAGCAGGUCAGAUGGUCGCUCUAACCCAUCCCAGAAUAAACGAAGACUUCACGUGUUCAUUGUUUCAUUCA